CAUAGAGAGGAGGCUUUGCAUGGUCAGCUGAUCCUCCAGUGAACUGAGAAGGUUUAUAGUCCUGUGAGUUCAACACUGCAGGACUCAGAUCUGUCAGUCAACACAGCAGAAAGCACAACCACCAUGACUCUCAUCACCAUCCUCAUCUGGACGCUGGCCUGCUGCUGUUUUACAGGAUGCAGCGGUCAGGUGACUGUGACUCAGCCUCCAGUAGUGACAUCUACUCCAGGAUCCACUGUCACUCUCACCUGUAAAACCAGCAGACCGGUUUAUCAAGAUAGUGAUGGAGAUUGGGCUAUGUUCUGGUAUCAACAGAAAUCUGGACAGACUCCAAAGCUCCUAAUAAGAUAUGCGAAAACUCGUCAUUCGGGAACACCAGCUCGGUUUAGUGGCAGUGGAAGCAGCUCUGACUUCACUUUGACCAUCAGUGGAGUUUUGACUGAAGAUGCAGCAGUUUAUUACUGUCAGAGUUACCAUGAGAUAAAUAGUGCUGAUGUGUUCACACAGUGAUUUGUCGUCGUACAAAAACCUCCCUCAGUCAGACUGCAGAGACUCUGAGCUGUUACAGCAGGAACCGACUGCAGCUGCUGAAGAGGAAGAGACUCUGACACAGACCACUGAACACAGAGCUGACAGUAACCCCACCAAGCACAAACCUUAUUGUGA